rnacentral:rRNA from 1 species
AGGUUUCCGUAGGUGAACCUGCGGAAGGAUCGUUACUGAGUCGUCGACAUGGGUUGUUGCUGGUCCUCGAAUCGGGGGGCAUGUGCACGCUCUGUUCACACAUCCACUCACACCUGUGCACCCUCUGUAGUUCUGCGGUCUGGGGGGACGAUGUGUUCCCCUCCUGUGGUUAUACGUCUUUACACACACACCGUAUUGAAGUCUUAUGGAAUGUGCGCCGCGUUUAACGCAAUAAAAUACAACUUUCAGCAACGGAUCUCUUGGCUCUCGCAUCGAUGAAGAACGCAGCGAAAUGNGAUAAGUAAUGUGAAUUGCAGAAUUCAGUGAAUCAUCGAAUCUUUGAACGCACCUUGCGCCCCUUGGCUAUUCCGAGGGGCAUGCCUGUUUGAGUAUCAUGAACACCUCAACUCUCACGGUUCGCCGCGAUGAGCUUGGACUUUGGGGGUUUUGCUGGCCUGCGGGUCGGCUCCUCUCAAAUGGAUCAGCUUGCCAGUGUUUGGUGGCGUCACAAGUGUGAUAACUAUCUACGCUCGUGGUCGUCCGCCAGGUAACCUUCAGUGAUGGAGGUUCGCUGGAGCUCAUAGACGUCUCUCCUCGGCGAAGACAGCUUUUUGAACGUUCGAU